rnacentral:rRNA from 1 species
CCUACGGGUGGCUGCAGUGGGGAAUAUUGGGCAAUGGGCGCAAGCCUGACCCAGCAACGCCGCGUGAAGGAAGAAGGCUUUCGGGUUGUAAACUUCUUUUGUCAGGGACGCAGCAAGUGACGGUACCUGACGCAUAAGCCACGGCUAACUACGUGCCAGCAGCCGCGGUAAUCCGGAGGUGGCAAGCGUUCUACGGAUUUACUGGGUGUAAAGGGCGGGUAGGCGGGACUGCAAGUCAGAUGUGAAAACCACGGGCUCAACCUGUGGCCUGCAUUUGAAACUGUAGUUCUUGAGUACUGGAGAGGCAGACGGAAUUCCUAGUGUAGCGGUGAAAUGCGUAGAUAUUAGGAGGAACACCAGUGGCGAAGGCGGUCUGCUGGACAGCAACUGACGCUGAGGCGCGAAAGCGUGGGGAGCAAACAGGAUUAGAUACCCCUGUAGUC